GAUGAACGCUGGCGGCGUGCCUAAUACAUGCAAGUCGAGCGAACAGACGAGGAGCUUGCUCCUCUGACGUUAGCGGCGGACGGGUGAGUAACACGUGGAUCACCUACCUAUAAGACUGGGAUAACUUCGGGAAACCGGAGCUAAUACCGGAUAAUAUAUUGAACCGCAUGGUUCAAUAGUGAAAGACGGUUUUGCUGUCUCUAAUAGAUGGAUCCGCGCCGCAUUAGCUAGUUGGUAAGGUAACGGCUUACCAAGGCGACGAUGCGUAGCCGACCUGAGAGGGUGAUCGGCCACACUGGAACUGAGACACGGUCCAGACUCCUACGGGAGGCAGCAGUAGGGAAUCUUCCGCAAUGGGCGAAAGCCUGACGGAGCAACGCCGCGUGAGUGAUGAAGGUCUUCGGAUCGUAAAACUCUGUUAUUAGGGAAGAACAAAUGUGGAAGUAACUAUGCACGUCUUGACGGUACCUAAUCAGAAAGCCACGGCUAACUACGUG
rnacentral:rRNA from 1 species